rnacentral:rRNA from 1 species
CGCGUGUGUGAAGAAGGCCUUCGGGUUGUAAAGCACUUUCAGUUGUGAGGAAAAGUUAGUAGUUAAUACCUGCUAGCCGUGACGUUAACAACAGAAGAAGCACCGGCUAACUCCGUGCCAGCAGCCGCGGUAAUACGGAGGGUGCGAGCGUUAAUCGGAAUUACUGGGCGUAAAGCGCACGCAGGCGGUUUGUUAAGCUAGAUGUGAAAGCCCCGGGCUCAACCUGGGAUAGUCAUUUAGAACUGGCAGACUAGAGUCUUGGAGAGGGGAGUGGAAUUCCAGGUGUAGCGGUGAAAUGCGUAGAUAUCUGGAGGAACAUCAGUGGCGAAGGCGACUCCCUGGCCAAAGACUGACGCUCAUGUGCGAAAGUGUGGGUAGCGAACAGGAUUAGAUACCCUGGUAGUCCACACCGUAAACGCUGUCUACUAGCUGUUUGUGACUUUAAGUCGUGAGUAGCGAAGCUAACGCGCUAAGUAGACCGCCUGGGGAGUACGGCCGCAAGGUUAAAACUCAAAUGAAUUGACGGGGGCCCGCACAAGCGGUGGAGCAUGUGGUUUAAUUCGAUGCAACGCGAAGAACCUUACCUACACUUGACAUGCUGAGAACUUUCUAGAGAUAGAUUGGUGCCUUCGGGAACUCAGACACAGGUGCUGCAUGGCUGUCGUCAGCUCGUGUCGUGAGAUGUUGGGU